rnacentral:rRNA from 1 species
GAUGAACGCUGGCGGCGUGCCUAAUACAUGCAAGUCGAGCGAACGGACGAGACGCUUGCUUCUCUGAUGUUAGCGGCGGACGGGUGAGUAACACGUGGAUACCCUCCCUAUAAGACUGGGAUCACUUCGGGAAACCGGCGCUAAUCCCGGAUGAUAUUUUGAACCGCAUGGUUCAAAAGUGAAAGACGGUCUUGCUGUCUCUUAUAGCUGGAUCUGCGCUGCAUUAGAUAGUUGGUAAGGUAACGGCUUACCAAGGCAACGAUGCAUAGCCGACCUGAGAGGGGGAUCGGCCACACUGGAACGGAGACGCGGACCAGACGCCUACGGGAGGCAGCAGUAGGGAAUCUGAGGCAGUAGGCGAAAGCAUGACGGAGCAACGGCGCGUGAGUGAUGAAGGUCUUCGGAUCGUAAAACUCUGUUAUUAGGGAAGAACAUAUGUGUAAGUAACUGUGCACAGCGUGACGGUACCGAAUCAGAAAGCCACGGCUAACUACGUG